rnacentral:rRNA from 1 species
GACGAACGCUGGCGGCGUGCUUAACACAUGCAAGUCGAACGGAAAGGCCCAGCUUGCUGGGUACUCGAGUGGCGAACGGGUGAGUAACACGUGGGUGAUCUGCCCCUGACUUUGGGAUAAGCCUGGGAAACUGGGUCUAAUACCGGAUAUGACCUUACAUCGCAUGGUGUUUGGUGGAAAGCUUUUGCGGUUGGGGAUGGGCCCGCGGCCUAUCAGCUUGUUGGUGGGGUAAUGGCCUACCAAGGCGACGACGGGUAGCCGACCUGAGAGGGUGAUCGGCCACACUGGGACUGAGACACGGCCCAGACUCCUACGGGAGGCAGCAGUGGGGAAUAUUGCACAAUGGGCGCAAGCCUGAUGCAGCGACGCCGCGUGAGGGAUGACGGCCUUCGGGAUGUAAACCUCUUUCACCAGGGACGAAGCGUGAGUGACGGUACCUGGAGAAGAAGCACCGGCCAACUACGUG